AUACUUACCUGGCAAGGGAGAUGCCAUGAUCAAGAAGGUGGUUGUCCCAGGGUGAGGUUUAUCCAUUGCACUCCAGAUGUGCUGACCCCUGCGAUUUCCCCAAAUGUGGGAAACUUGACUGCAUAAUUUGUAGUAGUGGGGGACUGAGUUUGCUUUGCGCUCGC